ACGGGGCGCAGCAGGCGCGAAACCUCUGCAAUAGGCGAAAGCCUGACAGGGUUACUCUGAGUGACUUUCGCUAAGAAAGUCUUUUGGCACCUCUAAAAAGGGUGCAGAAUAAGGGGUGGGCAAGUCUGGUGUCAGCCGCCGCGGUAAUACCAGCACCCCGAGUGGUCGGGACGAUUAUUGGGCCUAAAGCAUCCGUAGCCGGUUCUGCAAGUCCCCCGUUAAAUCCAGCUGCUCAACAGAUGGGCCGCGGAGGAUACUACAGAGCUAGGAGGCAGAAGAGGCAAGCGGUACUCAGUGGGUAGGGGUAAAAUCCUCUGAUCCAUUGAAGACCACCAGUGGCGAAGGCGGCUUGCCAAUACGCGCUCGACGGUGAGGGAUGAAAGCUGGGGGAGCAAACCGGAUUAGAUACCCGGGUAGUCCCAGCUGUAAACGAUGCAGACUCGGUGAUGGGCCGGCUUUAUGCCGGCUCAGUGCCGCAGGGAAGCCGUUAAGUCUGCCGCCUGGGGAGUACGGUCGCAAGACUGAAA
rnacentral:rRNA from 1 species